rnacentral:rRNA from 1 species
ACACACACUUCAGAGUUUGAUCCUGGCUCAGGAUGAACGCUAGCGACAGGCUUAACACAUGCAAGUCGAGGGGCAUCGGGGUUGUAGCUUGCUAUAACUGCCGGCGACCGGCGCACGGGUGAGUAACACGUAUGCAACCUGCCCGUUGCAGGGGGAUAAGCGGAAGAAAUUCCGUCUAAUACCGCGUAAUAUGGGCGAUAGGCAUCUAUCAUUCAUUAAAGAUUUAUCGGCAACGGAUGGGCAUGCGGUGCAUUAGCUAGUUGGCGGGGUAACGGCCCACCAAGGCGACGAUGCAUAGGGGUUCUGAGAGGAAGGUCCCCCACACUGGUACUGAGACACGGACCAG